rnacentral:lncRNA from 1 species
GCAUAUUCUAAUAAAUUUAAAGAUCUUGAUUUAUUUUGACCUUGUUCGAUUCUUAUUUUUUCCAAAAUACAUUUUUCUCUACUUUUUUUCAACCGCACAUUUUAAAUAAAAAAUAUUACAUGCAAAUUCAAAUAUUUUCCUUAUUUUUAACCACACAUUCUUCAUCAAUCUAUUAUUUGAAAGUGCAUUUUUUUUCUAUUUUUUGGGGCUCAAACAAGUCCUUUAUAUUAUCUAGAAAUAUACUGUCAAUUACACAAAUAAUCCCACUGCUUCUAAACAUUCUCCAGAUCAAUUACUAUGCAGCUUAAACACUACAAAGCUAUAAAGAAAGAAUAAAUGACCCCUAGAAAUACUGAAAAGGCAUUUGAGAAAAUUGAGGAAGAAACAGAAGAUACAAAAGAGUGAAAUAAAUAGGAACAACAAUCUUGACCAACAAAAUUAAGAAACAAAAUGCAAAAUGAUAGUAAAGGAAAAAGAUAUACCACCAGGAAAUUAACAGUGCUCUAAGAUCCAAGAAGCAAAAGAUACUAAAUAUAAAUAAGACCAACAAUCUGGACCAACAAAAUUAAGAAUCAAAAUGCAAAAUGACAGUAAAGAAAAAAAAUAUACCAGCAGGAAAUUAACAGUGCUCUAAGAUCCAAUAAUAGUGAGAAUAGGAUUCCUUUUCAAUAUCAUAAAUGAUCCCUAGAAAUACUGAAAAGGCAUUUGAGAAAAUUGAGGAAGAAACAGAAGAUACAAAAGAGUGAAAUAAAUAAGAACAACAAUCUUGACCAACAAAAUUAAAAAACAAAAUGCAAAAUGAUAGUAAAGGAAAAAGAUAUACCACCAGGAAAUUAACAGUGCUCUAAGAUCUAAGAAGCAAAAGAUACUAAAUAUAAGUAAGACCAACAAUCUGGACCAACAAAAUUAAGAAUCAAAAUGCAAAAUGACAGUAAAGAAAAAGAUAUACCAGCAGGAAAUUAACAGUGCUCUAAGAUCCAAUAAUAGUGAGAAUAGGAUACCUUUUCAAUAUCUUCUUUACUAAAUACCAAUAAAGCUAAGAAACAAAAUGCAAAAACGAUAGUAAAGAAACAGAUAAACCAGCAGCAAAUUAACAGUGCUCUAAGAUCCAAUAAUAGUAAGGAGAGAAUUCCUUUUCAAUAUCUUCUUUACCAAAUACAACAGUUACAUAGUAAAAAUACCAUCUGAACUGAGGACUUGCAAGAAACAAUAUAUUUUUCCCCGUUAAAAUUGACUUCACCAGAGGAAAAGUAGAACAUCUCAUGUCAAUAACCCCAAAACUUUUCAUUUCACGACCUGAGCUUAAAAGCUGCAAGCUAUAGAUAAAGAUUAAAUGACUUCUUUACAAAAUACCACAGUUACACAGUAACAAUACCAUCAGAAUUGAGGAAUUGCAAGAAACAGCAUAUUUUUUCCUUUAGCAUUGACUUUACCAGAGGAAAAGUAUCAGACCUCAUCUCACUAACCCCACAACUUUUCAUUUCACGACCUAAGCUAAAAAGCUGCAAGCUAUAGAUAAAGAUUAAACGACUUUUGUAAUAGAGUACAUGAAUUUAAGAAAAGAAGGGCACGAAACUAAUAAUACAGGAUAAAAUGAAAGAAAACAAAAUAAACAAACGUGGACAUAAGGAAAGAUGAAACGGGUGAAACAAAAAUAAAAAUAACAUUCUAAAGUCACGAACAAAUUGAGCCUAUAAGAGCAGAACAGACAUUAUUAAAACACAGCAUUCUCUUAGAAGAUACAUACAAGGAUGUUCCAGGGUCUUUUCCAUAUCAUGAAUUCUCCUCUUCUUUAAAAAAGUAUUGAUCCUCAUGAAAAAAAAAAUUAUAAUAAUAAUAAUAAUAAUAAUAAUAAUAAUAAAUAAAUAAAUAAAUAAAACUUACAUUUUUUUGGAUUUCCCAUUUUUUGGUUGAUUAGCAACACCAUCAUACAUCUUCAAAAUCUGGAGUGAGGAGAUGCUUAAAAACAAGACGUAUGUGCAACAAAAACAAACUCAAAAAAUGCAAAACUACAUGAAAUGAGAAAUCUAUAGAUUGAAUGUGCCAUCAGUAAUUGCUUCGAGUAACUUUGUAAAUAGAAAGAAGAACGUAUAAAACAAAGGGAAAUAGGGAAUGGAAAGGCUACAAAAAGACGACUAAAAAAAAAAAAUUAAGUUAUAAGGGGAAAAAUGCACAGAAGAAACAGAGUAUCUUAGACAAACCAAUAAGGAAAAAAACAAAUUUUGAUUUUCUGCCACUUACACUGCUACUUCUGAAUCAAGAGGAUUUGGUGAAUAAUUUCCCACUUCACAUUCCAAUGAUGAAGAAACUACUAAAGUAAAGGUCAAUGUCAAUUAAGUUGGUUGGAUCAGGCUACUACGAACUCUCCAGGCAACAUCCUUUACUCCUAAAAAUUUACCACCAGAAACAAAUAAGUAAAUUGUAAUCAUGUAAGUUGUUUAUGAUACUGUACUACAAGUCUAAAUCUAUUUUUUACAGAUAACCCAUUAAGCAAACCUAAACAAUUCUACAUUGCCUUGCAAGUUGAUGCAGAAGAAUUGAAGGAGAACUUAAUUAUCUCAACUUCCGAUCAUGCCAAAUGUUUGAAUCCUUGAUGGCCAUCAUUGUAAUGAAGUCACCUUGUAAAAAUUAUGAAUUAUGUGUCUGAUUGAAUAAGUAGACAUAAAAAAGGAAUAAAACAAUAUAAUAUGAGGAAAGGGAAAAAAAAUCCAGAGUUCCUAUAAGUUAGUGUUAUCUUUAGAAAAGGGAGGGGGGGGGGGGAUUCUCUGUUUUCCCUUAAGAGGUCAAAAAGGUCAAAAGAUUAUUAUUAGAUUGGUUAUACUUGAUAGCGUUGAGUAUGUAGUUUGAUGAACGUGUGAACAUUCUAAACGUGGCACCCGUUAGACAGGGACAUAAUCUGGGUAGACUUGAGAAGAUUCAUAUCCACAGACAAAGCAAGGGCAAACCAUAACUAGGGUGGUUUAUUGAGCUGCAACAGUUCUUGGCUUUAAAUCUUCAAGUAGAUCUGCAAGAUUUAUUAUUGAUGUUGUUCAUGACAAAAAAUACUAAAUCUUUUAACCAAAUCACUAACGAAAAUACAACUAAUAAUAAACCAUAGCAAACCAAUAUCAAUGUCAGCUUGAAAGCUGCCUCACACAUUACCACCUACAAACAAGAACGAUGAUCCAGAGAUUAUAAACCUGCAUUAAAUUUCCUAGUGCCUUUCAAGUUAAAUUCUAUGAUCAGUUUGAAAUAUCAACAGACAAAAGUUAUAUCCCAGGAUGAAGUCAAGAUCCUUUCCUCUCAAAGACUGAAGCCGCAUUAAAUUGGAAUGAUUGAACUUACAUCAAGAAGCAAACACCGCAGUCUAACACCAAACAUUCAGCAUUUUAAAAUAUUUACAAAUUUAGAAUUACCAAAUCUAACCCGAGGGGUAGCACAGUUCUCCAAUGGUCACCAAUUCGAGUCCGGGUCAUUGAGGUGAGUACCGGCUGUAAACUUGAGAGCCCGUGGCCCGUGGAAUUAGUGGGAUGUGCAAAAAAAAAAAAAGAAGAAAAAAAAAAGAAAAAGAAAAAGAAAAAAAAAGAAAAAAAAGAAGAGGAAAAAGAAUUACCAAAUCCAGACCCUUCCCAACAUCCCUCUUCAUCACUAAAAGUUGCAAGAUUGUUAAAUUUUCAUAUCCUAAUUUCUAAUUAUAGGCAAAGAAAUUAACCCCCCACUAAUGUCAGAUUAUAGAGAGUGAGAAACCAAUUAUUAUAAGACCUAAAGGAAGAGGAUGUAUCUGAUCAGAAUAACUAGCAAUCCUGUAGAUCAGUUCUCUAUGCAGAACAAGAGAAAAUCAUCGCCAACCAAAAAUCUCCAUCCUAGAAUUAACAUUGUAUCAUCGCCAACCAAAAAUCUCCAUCCUAGAAUAGAAAAAAAUGUAGUAUACAAACAUAAUUCCAGCAAAACCUCAGGAAUCAAACAUCCAGCAUUUUAAAAUCGUUACAACUAUAGAAUUACCAAUACCAAAUCCAGAUCCUUCCCGUCAUAUCCUUCUUGAUCACUAAAAUUGCAGGAUUGUCAAAUUUUCAUAUCUUAAUUCCGAUAUACAGUCAAAGAAAUUAUAGAGAAAGUGAAAAACAAAACCAAAUAUUAUAAGAUCAAAUGAAAGAAGAUGUAACUCUACCUGAUCAGAAUCACUAGCAAUCCUGUAGAUCAGUUCUCUAUGUAGAACAAGGAAAACCAUAAACACGCCGUAAAAGGGAAGAAGAAAAUUAACGUUGUAUCAUCACCAAACAAAAAUCUCCAUCCUAGAAUAGAAAAAAUGUGUAUAAAGAGUAGACGUAAUCGUAGGAAAACCUCAAGAAUUGGCAAUAAGAUUUCGCUUCUUUUCCCCCUGAUGAAUAAGCCCCUGAUCAGAAUCUAAAUACCAGCAAUUAAAAAUUCACCAACAUAAGAUUCAUCAACUAAUCCCAAAACCAAUUAAACAGAAUCACACCAAUCAAUCCACCAAAGGAGAUCAAUAGAAAUUGAACCACAAGAUAAAACCACCACACGAAUAAAGCGAAAUACGAUAGUGAUCAAAAGAAUGUGGGUGGUAUUUAUAGAGGUGCUGCCGAAGAAUACGUGGCUGUGAUUAAUAGGGGCAACUUGAUCCAACGGUAAAUAUGAUCCUUAUCCUUU